GUAGGUGGCAAGCGUUGUCCGGAAUUAUUGGGCGUAAAGCGCGCGCAGGCGGUUCUUUAAGUCUGAUUUGAAAGCCCACGGCUCAACCGUGGAGGGUCAUUGGAAACUGGAGAACUUGAGUACAGAAGAGGAAAGCGGAAUUCCACGUGUAGCGGUGAAAUGCGUAGAGAUGUGGAGGAACACCAGUGGCGAAGGCGGCUUUCUGGUCUGUAACUGACGCUGAGGCGCGAAAGCGUGGGGAGCAAACAGGGAUUAGAUACCCUGGUAGUCCACGCCGUAAACGAUGAGUGCUAAGUGUUAGGGGGGUUUCCGCCCCCUUAGUGCUGCAGCUAACGCAUUAAGCACUCCGCCUGGGGAGUACGGCCGCAAGGCUG
rnacentral:rRNA from 1 species